rnacentral:rRNA from 1 species
UACGAACCGUGCGACCGUUGUUCGGAAUCACUGGGCUUAAAGGGCGCGUAGGCGGGCCGCAAAGUCCGGGGUGAAAUCCUCCAGCUUAACUGGAGAAGUGCCUUUGAUACUGGUGGUCUUGAGGAAGGUAGGGGCAUGCGGAACUGAUGGUGGAGCGGUGAAAUGUGUUGAUAUCAUCAGGAACUCCGGUGGCGAAAGCGGCGUGCUGGACCUUUUCUGACGCUGAGGCGCGAAAGCCAGGGGAGCAAACGGG